UGCGAAUCCUUCCAAGCCCGGCGGCUAGAUCCACGCGGCGGCAAGGUAGGUAGACGGAGGCGCCCGCCUUCGUGCCGUGCGCGCCUCCCCUUCCCUUCCCGGCUCCCCGCCCGCGCCAAGGCCACGAAUUGGGGAGGCGGGGAGGCUCGUUUCUGAUUUUGGGAGGGGGUCAGUUUCGAUUCAUGACGGUGCGGCCGGGGUGGGUGGUGUGGGUGGCGCGGGGGUCGGCGGCGGCGUGGCAGCGGGUGGCGUGCAACCCGGAGAUGCUGCCGCCUGACCGCGUCCUCGCGCUCAUCUGCUGCGCGCCGCUCCACCUCCUCGCGCGGGUCGCGGCCUUCCUCUGCGUCCCCUUCCUCCCCGGGCCGGCCCGCGCCCCACUCCGACCCCGCCGCCGCAGCCGCGCCUUCCUCGUCCUCCGGCCUCCGGAGCUCGUGCCACACCCCUUCACUUACUCCUCCAACUCCUCGUCCUCUUCUUCCGAGGAUGACGAUGACGACAUCCACGAACACGUCGGUUGAGGUUGCAUGAGGAUAAGGCUCGGAAAUGGAGAAUUUGGGGGCUUCAGGAGCGAAGAAUGAACACUUGCAUGUGGUACUGGAUUGUGAUCCACUCGCCCUUCUAUCUUGUGGUGUCCAGAACUCAACAUUCCGGGGUUGUUCAUUGUUAAUAAGUAUAAGUCAGAGGCUCUGCAAAAAGGAUACCAAAGGAUUUUUUUUUUGCCGCGCGCGCACCGCCGCAGCGCGCCGGACGCCGACUGCUCACCCCGCGCCUGCCGCCGGUCGCCCCACGCUGGUCACCCCGCGCGCUAACUUAGGUGUAGUCUUGGCCAUGUCCUUGAAGGAGUUGCUUGGCGGCACAGCAAGCGCUGGAGGUCGCUGCGAACUGGUGCUCACAUUGUCGGAUUUUGUCCUUGACAGGGUAGGCUUUGAGGCUGCACCGAGGAAUGGUUGUGCCCUGCUGCCAUGGAUGGAUGAGCCCAUGGUCCGUGACCGGCCAGCGCUGGACAAUGACGGACGCUGCACUUCUGGGGAGCCAGAGGCUGCCACUGAUGACGCCGAGGAGCCAAAUUUGCGGACCGGGAGUUUGGGACCGACCGUGCCCGCCUAGCACCAUAAAGGAGCGAUGUAGCGACCUGCGGCGAGCUGGUGCUUGAAUGAGCGAUGGAGCUCGGGACCGACCGCGCCUGCCUUAGGAAGCUGCUGGUGCGAGAAAUCGAACAGAAGAGCGAUGGACCUCGGGACCGACCGCGCCUGCCUUAGGAAGCUGCUGGUGCGAGAAAUCGAACAGAAGCGGCCGGGAUACGGUGGAUUUGGCCGGCGACGAGCUGUGCUUGAAGGAGCGAUGGAGCUCUGUUAUGGAGGUAGAGGGGGUCUCUGUUUCGAAGGUAGGCCCAAUUACGAUGACGUGAUAAAUAUUGGGGAGUAAUUUUUAGCAUUAUGCUGUGGUCUUAUAUGUUUUUAAGGGAAAGAUUUUUUUAGUAUAGCUCCCAAUACUGGGAAGAAUUUUUUAGGUUUUGAA